CCUUUUAGUUAGGGCUGCCCUACAUGCUCCCUCUGUGGACAGGUGUCUGCGGAGUUCAGCCUAGUUUUGCUUUUCGCUGUGACAGGGUAGCCCUGAGUUCAAUGUAAAGUCUCACAUCACUGCAUUCUUCCUCUCCCAAGUGUACAGAUUCUCUCUGUGUGUCAUGCGGCUGCUGCUGUGGAUUGAGGGAGGAGCGGCAUCAGUAACCAAAGACUAUCUUUCCUACGCCUUCAGUGCCUCUUUCUGUGAUAUGAAGUUAAAACAAGGUGACAAACGAGAUUCUACCCAUGUCAGCAGACUGGAGAUUGCAGUUCUUCAAACCUGAGUGUUAGGUGUCUCAGAGCAAUAUGGAUUGCAGACAAAGCCUUAGAAAACAAUGCUGUCAAUCAAAAGUAUCCUGCAAACUAUGAAAAUAUUAGUCUUCUCUGAUACAAGCUGCAUAAAGCAUCAUAAAAUGGAUUUUACUGAAACUUGAGAUCUGAAUUAAAAACCAGCCUUAGAAGUUAAUUUACAACUCUAAAGAUAAUGAGAACUUCAGAGAGGCUCACCCACCUCCUGAGUUAUGCAUGGACAUUUUGAGGGAGGUGGCAGGGGGUGCAAUACUGAGGCCCAGGACCAUGGAGGCAUCUCUUAAUUGUGAAACUGAAGACAUAGGACUUACCGUGUUUCCAAAACAGACUUUCUCAGAAGGGAGAAGAGAGACAGUUGCCUUACUCCCCACUAUAAGCAGAUACAAUUCAUAUUUUUCCAUUCCUUGAUUACCAUAUAGACUUGGUGUGUUUAAGAUAUUUGACCUGGCUUUCAUCACAAUGGCCCUGGCAUAAGAACGAAAGCACGGGGGAAUCACACGCUUGUUUUUUGCUGUAAAUCAUAAAAAAAUCUGUCUCUGCUCCAAAAACUUUGUGGGUGCAUUUAGGACAGAAUCAAUAAAGGUGAAUAUUAAAAA